AAGAGAGAGAGCCUCUGCCCUCCCACAGUGUGACCCUCCGACGGGGAGACAGGAGCAUCAACAUAUCCCUCUCCAGGAGCUGAAGUUCAUUAAGAUCAACAAUAAUUCUGUAUAACCAGGCAUUGUCUACUACCCUACCCGGUCUCUGGGAAUUCUCUAGAGUCCUGUUACAGGUGAGGAUUGUGUGUGUGUGUUACAUUGGCAAGCACAGCCCUUCUACCAGGUCAAAUCAAAUGUUAUUUGUCACAUGCGCUGAAUAAAACAGGUGUAGACUUUACUGUUAAAUGCUUACUUAUGAGCCCUUUCCCAACAAUUCAGAGCUAAAAAGUCAAAUAAAUUUGAACAAAAUAAAAAAAGUAAAUAGUAACACAAAAUAACGAGAAUAUACAGUAUACAAGGAGUACUGAGUCAAUGUGCAGGGGUACGAGGUAAUGUAGGUAAUAUGUACGUAGGGGUAAUGAAUAGGCAAUCAGGAUAGAUAAUAUACAGAGUUAACAUACACUGUUGUUACUCUGUAUAUGUUAGAGUGUGAAAGCGUGUCCGUGUGUGAAUGUGUGACGUCAAUAUGCGUGUGUGUUUUGUGUGUGUAUGUGUGUCAGUGUAAGUAUGUGUGAGUAGAGCCCAGUGAGUGUGCAUUGAGCCGGUGCAAGAGAGUCAGAAAAACAUGAAUACAUAGGGGGGUCAAUGCAAAUAGUCAGGGCAGCUAUUUGAUUAACUGUUCAGCAGUCUUAUGGCUCGGGGGUAGAAGCUGUUCAGUAGCAUUUUGGUCCUAGACUUGGCGCUCCGUUACUGCUUGCCGUGCGAUAGCAGAGAGAACAGUCUAUGACUUGGGUGGCUGGAAUAUUUGGCCAUUUUUAGGGCCUUCCUCUGACUACGCCUAAUUUAGAGGUCCUGGAUGGCAGGGAGCUCGGCCCCAGUGAUGUAAUGGGCCGUACACGCUACCCUCUGUAGUGCCUUACGGUCAGAUGCCAAGCAGUUGCCAUACCAAGCAGUGAUGCGACCAGUCAAGAUCUUCUCAAUGGUGCAGCUGUAGAACCUUUUGAGGAUCUGAGGGCCAAUGCUAAAUCUUUUCAGCCUCCUGAGGGGAAGCGGCAUUGUCGUGCCCUCUUCACGACUGUAUUAGUGUGUUUGGACCAUGAUAGAUCCUUAGGGAUGUGGACACUGGGUUGGCGCUCCUCCCCCCUUGGGUUGUGCCGUGGCGGAGAUCUUUGUGGGCUAUACUCAGCCUUGUCUCAGGAUGGUAAGUUGGUGGUUGAAGAUAUCCCUCUAGUGGUGUGGGGGCUGUGCUUUGGCAAAGUGGGUGGGGUUAUAUCUAAUUCUCUUUUUCUCUCUUUCUUUCUCUCUCUCGGAGGACCUGAGCCCUAGGACCAUGCCUCAGAACUACCUGGCAUGAUGACUCCUUGAUGUCCCCAGUCCAUCUGGCCGUGCUGCUGCUCCAGUUUCAACUGUUCUGCCUGCGGCUAUGAACCCUGACCUGUUCACCGGACGUGCUACCUGUCCCAGACCUGCUGUUUUCAACUCUCUAGGGACAGCAGGAGCGGUAGAGAUACUCUCAAUGAUCGGCUAUGAAAAGCCAACUGACAUUUACUCCUGAGGUGCUAACUUGUUGCACCCUCGACAACUACUGUGAUUAUUAUUAUUUGACUAUGCUGGUCAUUUAUGAACAUUUGAACAUCUUGGCCAUGUUCUGUUAUAAUCUCCACCCGGCACAGCCAGAAGAGGUCACCCCUCAUAGCCUGGUUCCUCUCUAGGUUUCUUCCUAGGUUUUGGCCUUUCUAGGGAGUUUUUCCUAGACACCGUGCUUCCACACCUGCAUUUCUUGCUGUUUGGGUUUUUAGGCUGGGUUUCUGUACAGCACUUUGAUAUACCAGCUGAUGUAAGAAGGGCUAUAUACAUACAUUUGAUUGAUUGAUUUGAUGACACCGAGGAAGCUCACAAACCCGCUCCACUACAGCCCUGUCGAUGUGAAUGGGGGCCUGCUCGACCCUCCAUUUUCUUUAGUCCACGAUCAGCUCCUUUAUCUUGCUGAUGUUGAGGGAGAGGUUGUUGUCCUGGCACCACACUGCCAGGUCUCUGACCUCCUCCCUAUAGGCCGUCUCAUCUUCGUCAGUGAUCAGGCUUACCCCCUUCUUGUCUUCUGCAAACUUAAUGAAGGUGUUGGAGUCAUGUGUGAACAGGGAGUACAGGAGGGGACUAAGCACGCACCCCUGAAGGGCCCCUGUGCUGAGGGUCAGCGUGGCAGAUGUGUUGUUGCCUACCCUCACCAUAUGGGGGCUGCCCGUCAGGAAGUCCAGGAUCCAGUUGCAGAGGGAGGUGUUCAGUCCCAGGGUCCUUAGCUUAAGUAUGAGCUUGUAGGGCAAUAUGGUGUUGAACGCUGAGCUGUAGUCAAUGAACAGCAUUCUCAUGUAGGUGUUCCUUAUGUCCAGUUGGGGCAGUGUCGGUUGCAUAAUUUGUGGAUCUGUUGGGGUGGUAUGAGAAUUGGAGGGGGUCCAGGGUGUCUGUGUUGAUGUGAGCCAUGACCAUUCUUUCAAAGCAUUUCAUGGAUACAGAUGUGAGUGCUAAGGGGAUAGUCAUUUAGACAGGUUACAUUGGUGUUCUUUGGCACAGGGACCAUGGUGGUCUGCUUGAAACAUGUAGGUAUUACAGACUGGGUCAGGGAGAGAUUGAAAAUGUCAGUGAAGACACUUUCCAACUGGUCAGCGCAUGCUCUGAGUAUGCAUCUGAGUAAUCAGUCUGAAUGUUAAACUGUUUAAUGAUCUUACUCACAUCGGCUAUGGAGAUAGUGAUUACACAGCUGUCCAGAACAGCUAGUAAUCUCAUGCAUGGUUCUGUUUUGCGAGCCUCAAAACGAGAAUAGAAGGCAUUUACCUCAUCUUGGGUCACUGGGUAGCUCGUGGCUGGGUUUCUGGUUCUAAUCCGGGAUAGUUUGUAAGCCCUGCCACAUCUAACAAGAGUCAGAGCUUGUGUAGUAAGAUUCGAUCUUAGUCCUGUAUUGACGCUUUGCCUGUUUGAUGGUUCGUCAGAGGGCACAGCAGGAUUUCUUAUAAGCGUCCAGAUUAGUUUCCUGCUCCUUGAAAGUGGCAGCUCUAGCCUUUAUCUUAGUGAGGAUGUUGCCUGUAAUCCAUGGCUUCUAGAGGUUUUUAGUUGCAUAGGUGACCUACUGGUAGAAAUGAGGUAAUACAGAUUUCAGUUCUGCUGCAUUAAAAUCACUGCCACUAGGAGUGCCGACUCUGUGAAUAUUUUCUUGUUUGCUUCUGGCCCUAUACAGCUUCUUGAGUGUGGUCUUAGUGCCAGCAUUGUUUUGCGGUGGUAAGUAGACAGCUUCGAAAAAUAUAGAUGAACACUCUCUUGGUAAAUAAUAUGGUCUUAUCAUGAGGUUAUCAUGAGGUAUUCUAACACAGGCGAGCAGAGCCUUGAAACUUCGCACAUCAGCUGUUGCUCUGAUGUUCAGAACCUCUUUUCGGUGAUAUGAAGAAGAAAAAACACAAAAUAGCACAAUGACACCUGCACACUGACCUCUCUACUAUCACAGGGGCCACUAAUGGUAUUUACGGACAUAUUCAAUCUCUCAAUCAGUAUAUUGUCCCCACUUGCUUCAAAAUAUCCACAAUUGUUCCUGUACCCAAGAAAGCAAAGAUAUCUGAACUAAAUGACUAUCUACCCAUAGCACGCUCUUCUUUCAUCAUGAAGUGCUUUGAGAGGCUAGUUAAGGAUCAUAUCACCUCCACCUGACCCAACACCCUAGAUCCACUACAAUUUGCAUACCGCCCCAACAGAUCCACAGAUGACGCAACACCAGAGCACUCCAAACUCAUCACUAAGCUCAGGGCCCUGUGUCUGAACCCCUCCCUGUGCAACUGGGUCCUAGACUUCCUGACGGGCUGACCCCAAGUGAUGAAGGUAGGCAACAAAAUCUCUGCCACACUGAUCCUCAACACAGGGGCCCCACAGAGGUGCGUGCUCAGUCUCCUACUGUACUCCCUGUUCACCCAUGACUACGUGGCCACGCACGUCUCCAACUCAAUCAUCAAGUUUGCUGACGACAACAGUGGUAGGCCUGAUUCCUAACAACGAUGAGACCGCCUACAGGGAGAAGGUGAGAGCCCUAGCGGAGUGGUGCCAGGAAAAUAACCUCUCUCUCAAUGUCAACAAAACUAAGGAGCUGAUCAUGGCCUGUAGGAGACAGCAAAGAGAGCACGCCCCCAUCCACAUUGACAGGGAUGCAGUGGAGAGAGUCAAAAGAUUAAAGUUCGUCAGGGUGUACAUCACUGAGGAGGACCUGAAAUGGUCCCAUUGCACUGACAGCGUGGUGAAGCGCCUCUUCAACCUCAGGAGGCUGAAAUUCGGAUUGGCUCCUGGAUCCAUGGCCUGUUCCCCCCACUACCAUCUACAAGGUAGAGACAGUACCGGUGCAUCAAAGCUGGGACUGUGAGACUGAAUAACAUCUAUCUACAGGUCAUCAGACUGUUAAACAGUCACGACUAACCGGCCGCCGCCCAGUACCCUACCCUGAAGUUCAGACACUGUCAAUAGCCGUCCACCAUCCGGUACUCUACCAUGCACCUUAGCGUCUGCUGCCAUAUGUACACAGAGCCAUUGAACAAGGGUCACUUUUAUAAUGUUUACAUACUGUUUUAUCCACUUUAUAUGUAUAUACUGUAUUCUAGUCAUGGCUUAUCCUAUAUAACUACUGCUAUACACACCUUUUCUAUUCACAUACUGUCUAUACACACCAUUCACAAAUACAGUACUAGUCAAAAGUUUGGACACACCUACUCAGGGUUUUUCAGGGUUUUCCUACAUUUGUACUAUUUUAUACAUUGUAGAAUAAUAGUGAG
ensembl:lncRNA